rnacentral:lncRNA from 1 species
UAAGGAGGUGUGUUCAUGUAAACUAUUGUCAUAGUAGUUCCUUAAGUGACAUUUGACAUAAGCUCUUGAAGAACUAAGAUAUGUCAAUUGAUCACAUAAUAAGAGGAUCUGUAACUCAAGGAUAGUAGAGGUAGUCUUAGGAGCUUGAUAACUUUCACCUUGUUAGACUAUGGACACCAGUUCAUAGGGGAAUUAAACACAAUAGAUAGCAUGUCACAAACUCAAGCAUUUA